GAAUCUUUCAGGCAUUUAGACAGAAAUGAGCAGGUUACUAGUGAAACAGACAUCAAGCUGGUCUCAGACUUCUCAAUUCUGAAGGCUGAAAGACUGUUCUAGAAGACCAGGUUGUGUCUCAAGAAUUCCAUGUUCACCCAACAUGGCGUUCAUGUGCAAAGGCUGUAGGAAUUCAUCUUCAGAUUUACAGGAGGCAGAAAAUAUACCCCACCUGGUCCCUUCUUGAAAAAAAGGUGUUUGAAUUUGUAGUCCCAUUGAUCAACAGGUGAACUGGCAUGAGGACGCACACACAAAAGUAUAAAAGGACUUGCGUUUCCUUUUCAAGUGAGGAAAAAUGCUGGCCCCAGUGAAAGGGAGCAGCAGUCAGAGGAAACUCAAACCAAGCUGACUGUGGGGAGUCCAAGAUGAGCCCCUAGAGAUAGCAUGGCAGAGGCUGCGUGCUCCUGUGGAAGCCCCUAGCUAGGAACAAGAAAAUCUGGUUUCUGUAUGUGCCUCCAACAUUUAUUGACUGGAACCUUCACACAAUUACUUAACAUCUGUAAACUUCAGUUUCUUCUUCUGUAAGAUGGAGAUAAUGCCCAUUUUAAUAAAGCUCCUUGACAUGGGUUUUGGUAAUGAGUUUCUGG
rnacentral:lncRNA from 1 species